CCGGGCUAGUUCAAUAAACAACCUGCGCUCCUUUCUGUGUUAAGUAUCCCAAGAUGCCUCUGUGUGUGUGUGGGGGGGGGGACCAACAAACAUGACACUCUUUUGUCAUGUUUGUUGGUCAUGGUCUCUGUAAAAUCAGUCACGCGGAAAUGGCAGCACCCCAAAAAAGCAAAUAAUUAAAAAACAACACAGAAAAUGAUUGAAAACAGAUCCUAAUUUUUACCACAAGCCUCUGGAAGUGGUUAAAACAGUUCCUUUAUUACCCACACACAUCCAAAUAAACCAAAUCUCAAACUCAUGUUACGCCUCUCAGACUGUAACAUGAGACGAGACGGACACGCCUCCUAACACGAGAGAGAGCUCACACCACACGCUGAAUAUCCUCCACUCUCUUUCUCUCAGCACUGAGAUCAUCCUUCCUGACCUAUGAUGUCGGGUGGUGCUCUCUCCGUCUUUUUUGCUCUCUGUGUGCUUUUAGAUGGCUGCUGUGGAAAACCGGCGAUUCUGGGAGAGUCUGUAGAGUUAUCAGCUGAUGUGAAGUGUGAAGCGCAGGAAUUCAGUCUGAUCUACCGGCUGAGGGAUGACAGUCCUCGGACUGUGGCCCAGCUGGUAAACGGUGUCUGGAUCCCGGGAGAGAGCUACAGAGAGCGGGUGGAGCACAGCUCCACGGGCAGCUUGUUGCUAACCCAUGUGAACUACAACGAUCAAGGCUACUACGAGUUCACCUGCGCCGGGCAGGUUGUCACCACCAUCCAGCUGGAGGUCCUCAUCAUCUCCAACAACAACCUCUCUGUGCCUGAAGGAGACACGCUCACGCUGCCGUGUUAUUUCCACACUGAGGGGGACUCCGUGGACUCUGUUGUGUGGGAAAGAGACGGGGAGCUGGUGCUGAACCAGAGCCUCUCCUCCGGGAAGCUCAGACAUGGGACUGGGUUUGAGGGCAGAGCGUCUGUGAAGUCUGACUGGUUUGUACUGGGAGACCUGUCACUGACGGUGGAGCGGGUCCAGCUGGUGGACCGAGGUGACUUCUUCUGCUGUGUUAAUAAAGGCAGCAGAGAGAGCGGGAAGUGGAGAGAGAGGGGCAGCCCUGCAGCUGUGAGAGUGACUGUCAGUGAGAGGAGCACCAACAUCAGCAGCAUCUCUGCUCCCCCCACACGUGAAGCAGAGACACACACGGCAGCUUGUGUCACUCCCAUCAUCAUCACAGCCGGCAUAACCCUGCUGCUCUCUGCUGCUGCUGCUGCUGUGUGGUUGGUUUGGAGGAGGAAGUCCCGCAGAUCAGGAUCCACACCUGACGGCUCUGAUGGAGGACCUGCCAGUGACGUGGAGACGACACCUUUCACUGAGAGAGGCUCUGACAGAGGGACGUUCAUCGGAUAACUGAAGCCUGUGUGUGUGGUUUCUACACAAACACGACCUCUGCUGUGAUACUCUUUAUAAAAAAUGUUAUGGAUUUUUUUUGUAUCUUGCUCCUUGCUUUAGCCUCACUUCCUGUUCCUGUAGUUUAUAAGUUUUAUAAGAUGUAAAUAUCAGCUUUUCUGCCAAUAAAUAUCUGAGAUUUUAAUGUUUGAUCAUGUUUGUUUCAUGUUUUCGUGUCUUCCAGAGUGUCCCUUUGCCUUUUCUCCAGAAAUCUGGCAAUAUUAAAAUAAUAAAUGAAACAAAUAAAUAAAGUAGCUUAAAAAAACAAAACAAAACAAAAAAGUUAAAUGGAAAUGUGGAAAACUGAUUUAAGAAACAAACAGAAGUCAAGCUAAGAAUAAGAGAAAAGGCCAGACAACAGGUUGUUUGGUAUGACGUCGACAGAUCAAAGGGUGAAAGGUCAGAAAGUACAAAAAUAUCUCCCAGCAUGCCCCUCUGCCAUCAAAACGUCCCGUUAAUUGUUUUCACUUUAAACAAUGCUGUAAAUGAGUAAAUACAUUUCGAUAAUGAAUUUUAGCUCUGCAUGAAUGACGUUAAACUUCGGUAGUUUCACAACAAACAGUCGUGACUUAAACGUGUUAGUCCAACUUUCAUGUCAGCUUGGAAAUUUACAGCAAACAUGUGCAAACGUGCAUGUAGCUGCUGUGCUCUGCUGUUCUGUAUUACUUUUCGUCCCACGGUGAGUCACUCUGUCACUCUGAAAUGUAUUUGGGACUCAGCCAAAAAGUAACAACGGGGAAUACUGAAGCUGCUUGUGUUUAGUUUCUCGACACAGGCCACACCAUGACAUCGUGUGAAAUUUUAGACAGUUUACAUCACAGCCUCCCAUGAAAUCUGUCUGAAAGCGCUGAAUUUACCUAUCCCUGUAGUUUGUGUCAGAUUUCUGCAAAUGAAGAUUAAUCUGAAUUUUGAAGUUUGUUCGGUUUUUGUUUGUGACAAAGUGCUCUUGCCCCGCUAACCAAGCAGAGAUUUGUUUUUGUUGGCAUCCCAGUGUUGUAAGAAAUCUAUUUAUUUAUUUACUUACAUACAGUGGCGAACACUUGCUCUGCGUGAGACUGAGAUGACCAAAAAGCAACUCACCACACAGGAAAUCAUUCCUGCCCGUGGGCAUCUCCCUGUACAACACCUCCAUCUAACACACUGUGAACACUGCAAUAGUUACACCAUUUUUACACACGCUCUUUUCUAUUCUGGAAUAUUCUUGUCAAUUUUCUUGAUAUUUAUUUAUAAUCACCUCUGUUAAUCCUUGAUAUUUAUAAUUGAGUGAUCUGUAUAUAUUAGUGCUAUUUCUUAAAUGUGUAAAAUCUGUAACAUAAGGUGUUGUUUGGAGUUUAGUCUGUUACUGUUACUAUUUUUUACCAUUUCUUCUUGGAGCAACUGUAACCCACAUAAUUUCCUUAGGGAUUAAUAAAGUAUUCUGAUUCUGAUUGUUUCAGGAUGACCUGCCAUGAUCCAAUGACACAUCUGCUUACCUGUAUAUUUGGCUCAUUUCUCCUCCUCUUCUUUUCUCUUUUUUCUAAACUGAGCACCUGAUGACUUUGAACUUUUCUUGUCCAUCUUCCAUUGGUUUUAAUUUUGCACUCCAGUAUGAACACCCAUCCCCCAACUCGAGGAUCACCACAACAUAACCUAAUAGACCUACACCUUAGUUCACAGAUUGCGGUGUAUUUCUGGGAUUUCACACAACCCAGGAUUCAAAUCAUGAAUACAUAAUGGGCUUGGAUUUACAACAUUAUGAAUGAAAUGUGUUCUAUUUGGAAGCAGCCG
ensembl:lncRNA